UCGCCUGUUUAUCAAAAACAUAGCCCCUAGAAUUUAUUAGGGGUCAUGCCUGCCCAGUGGAAAUAUAUUUUCUAAACGGCCGCGGUAUCUUGACCGUGCAAAGGUAGCAUAAUCACUUGUCUCUUAAAUGGGGACCUGUAUGAAUGGCUAAACAUCCUUAAACUGUCUCCUUCUCUUUCCAUUAAAACUUCUCUUUACGUGAAGAAGCGUAAAUAAAAAAGAUAGACGAGAAGACCCUGUCGAGCUUUAGCUAAUGUUAAAUUUUCUUUAUUUCUUUCUAGAAUAAUUUAUUUAAAUUCUAACUUAAGCUUUGGUUGGGGUAACCAUGGAGAAUAAAUAUCCUCCAGUUAAAUUAAGAAGAAAACAAUUCACCUAAAACAAAAGUUCAAGAACCAGUACUCCUGGUAAACGGAAAUAGUUACCGCAGGGAUAACAGCGUUAUCUUCUCUAAGAGCCCAUAUUGACGAGAAGGAUUGCGACCUCGAUGUUGGAUUGGGGUAACCAAAAGGUGCAGAAGCUUUUUAAGGUUGGACUGUUCGUCCAUUAAAUCCCUACGUGAUCUGAGUUCAGACCRGA
rnacentral:rRNA from 1 species